GGCACAAACUUGGAGUAGAGCAGAUUGGUAAGGUCAGUUGAUACCACUAAUCUAGUCUACGUCACGUUUGUGCCC
rnacentral:pre_miRNA from 1 species